rnacentral:tRNA from 1 species
GUCCUAGCUAGCCUAGUGGUCAUGGCAUCUGCGCGGUAAGCGGAAGGUCGUGGGUUCGAUUCCCAUCCCUUGACA